rnacentral:rRNA from 1 species
AUUGAACGCUGGCGGCAGGCCUAACACAUGCAAGUCGAGCGGAUGAAGGGAGCUUGCUCCUGGAUUCAGCGGCGGACGGGUGAGUAAUGCCUAGGAAUCUGCCUGGUAGUGGGGGAUAACGUCCGGAAACGGGCGCUAAUACCGCAUACGUCCUGAGGGAGAAAGUGGGGGAUCUUCGGACCUCACGCUAUCAGAUGAUCCUAGGUCGGAUUAGCUAGUUGGUGGGGUAAAGGCCUACCAAGGCGACGAUCCGUAACUGGUCUGAGAGGAUGAUCAGUCACACUGGAACUGAGACACGGUCCAGACGCCUACGGGAGGCAGCAGUGGGGAAUAUUGGACAAUGGGCGAAAGCCUGAUCCAGCCAUGCCGCGUGUGUGAAGAAGGUCUUCGGAUUGUAAAGCACUUUAAGUUGGGAGGAAGGGCAGUAAGUUAAUACCUUGCUGUUUUGACGUUACCAACAGAAUAAGCACCGGCUAACUUCGUG